GAAGAAGGAGAAGAAGCAGAAGAAGAAGGAGAAGAAGAAGAAGCAGAAGAAGCAGAAGAAGAAUUGAUGAAGAAGAAAAGGAAGGAGGAGGAGAAGGAGAAAAAUAAUGGGGGGUAAUAUAGUCUUUUACUAUAUUUUUAACGGCAAAAAUAGACAGAAGGACUAUUUCGUUGACGGAAAGAAAACAUAAGGACGUUUUAAUAGGUUUCUAAAAAUACAGGGACUGACUUGUUAAUAAUGGUAAUACCCAGGGACUAAAUCGUAAAUUACCCAAAUAUUU
rnacentral:lncRNA from 1 species